GCAAUCGAUUACUUGAUAACUAAUUAGUUAUCAAAUUAAUCACCAACUAUUUUCAGAAUCCUUUAGUCAUUUAGAGACAUUGUUCAAAUCCUCAGAAUUCCAGCCACUUCACAGUAAACAUUCAGAUUUCUGUCAUCCUCCACAAAAGUAGACCGAUUAUCUUUGUGUUGUCUCA